rnacentral:lncRNA from 1 species
CCACGUUUUGCAGGCUGCCACCGUGUUGGAGGCGAGGCGAGGAAGGGAGCUGGAAUAACAAAGGGAGGUAAUGGGGUAGAUUGGAUACCUCUGGGGUCUUGGAAGAAGCUAUGACUUAUUUACUGUCUACUAUGUGCUGAAGCCACUUGCUCAGAGCCGCACAGCAAGUCCACCACCCUGAACCUCCAGAUUCCCAACUCAGCAUUGUGUCCUGACAGUGUCAUCAUAGACGGUCAACACUGUCACCUGGGCAGCACUGAAGCCCAGAGCGGGAGAGACUGGCUCAAGACCAUGGCCUCUCCUGGUCUGACAGUCUCAGAUGCAGUCAUGGAUGGCUUUCUGGAGGAGGUGGUACCUGGUCUGUGGGAAGUAGGGGUCAGCAUCCUGGUCUCCGGG